GGUGCUAUUUCUUCUAGCAAAAAAAACAGAAUUAGGUGCUAUUUCCUUUUCCUUACUUUUUUGUUUUUUCAACAUUCUGUAUUGAAAAAUUAAUUGGUGGGUCCCAUCCAUUCACGUGCUAGUCUCAUCUGUCGGUCGCCCACGGCAUGAAAGGAAAAAUGGCAUCUUCCAAAUGCCAUUUAUUAACCUUCACGGAAGCUGCCUCUAAAAUAUUACCUUUUGAAAUUUCAUUUCGCUGAAAAAGCAGAGGGGAAACUGAAAUAUAUUGCAUUUUUCAUGGCUGAAUCGUUUGCUUCUAUCCCUCGUUACGGUGUCCCUCGAACUCAAUUUGAUAUUUUCUUGAGUUUCAGUUACUUGAUACCCCAAACAACCCAAAAAAUUUCACAAGGCACCUUUCCGAAGCCUUAUAUCUCAAAGGAAUUCAGUUUUUUGAUGCCGAUUUGUGGUUCACUGAGCGAGAGGAAAUAUAACCCCUCACUCAUUAAGGUAAUUAGAGAAUCAAAGAUAUCCAUUAUUAUCUUCUCCGAAAACUAUACAUCUUCAUCACGGUGUUUGGAUGAACUGGUUGAGAUCCUUGAGUGUCGGAAAUCACUUGGGCGACUGGUUUGGUCAGUCUUCUUGAGAGUGGAGCCUUCUGAAGUGAGAAACCAGACAGGCAAUUUUGGAGAAGCAUUGGCUAAAUAUGAAUGAAGUUCAGAUAGGGACAAGGAAAAGCUUGUUAAAUGGAAGGAUGCUUUGACCCAAGCUUCCAGUUUAUCGGGAUGGCAUUCAGUUGAUGGAGAUGAAUCUCAACCGAUAAUCCAAACUAUUGUUGAAGCUGCAUUCAGAAAAAGUCAGUCGUACAGCGCAUCUAUAUGUUGCCGACCAUCCAGUUGGAAUUGAAGAUCGCUUGCUGGAAUUGGAACCCUUAAUAGAUGUUGGAACUGGAAAGAAUGAUGUGAAAUUCACACGGUUCUAUGGAGUAGGUGGUGUAGGUAAGACCACAAUUGCCAAAGUUUUAUUCAAUAAAUUUGCUGAUGAAUUUGAAGUUUCCAGCUUCCCCGCAAAAACGUAAGAGAAGCAUCGAUGCAGAAUCUUGGUUUUGUUGAACUACCUGAAACGCUUCCGUUUGACAUGCUGGGGAUUAAAAUUUGAAGUUGGCAAUACUCAUAGAGGUAUCCAUAUCACAAGGCAAAGGCGUUGUUCCAAAAGAGCACUUGUAGUUCUUGAUGAUGUUGAUCAGCUGGCGACAUUAGCCGGAUGGCAUGAGUGGUUUGGCUUGGGAAGUAGAAUCCUUAUUACUACUAGAAAUAAGCACUUGCUAACAACUCAUAGAGCUGAUAGAAUAUAUGAGGGACGAGAAUUGGAUCAUCGUAUAGCUGUUCAACUCUUUAGUUGCAAUCUGAAGGAUGAUCAGUGUGUUGCUUGGAGGGGUGAAACCGAUGAUAUAAGGAAUAUACAAGAGGAACUAUUGGAUAGACUUUGGGUACAGCAGAAACUACAUAUUCAGCUAUAUGAAGCUAAAAUAUUUACAAACUGGGGAGGACAUGGUUCAUUUUCUUGUUUAGUAGAAGUGGAUCUUGGUUAUUGUAAGAGUUGUUACUGUUUGCCACCACUUGGACAGCUACCUUUCCUGAAAAAGCUUCAUAUUCAGGGAUUUGAUAGGGUGGAGAGAGUAGGUGAGGAAUUUUAUUCCGCUACUGAUUCUCUUUCCUCAAGUAAACCAUUCAAGUCCUUGGAAAGUUUAACCUUUUCACACAUGUCGUGGUGGAAGGAGUGGUCAUUCAUGAAAAGUGGAGUUUUCUGGGAUCUGAAGCAGCUUACACUAGACAAUUGCAGGAUCUGGAAGGGACGUGCUUCCCCACUUAUCUUCCAUGCUUGCAGUCACUUUUAAUCUCGGGAUGCCAAAAACAAGUGGUGGCUUCACUCUCAACUGAUGGACUUCCAUUGCUGAGUUUCUUGAAAAUAGGUCAUUGUAAAGAGUUGGUGUCAUUUCCAAUAAGAACAUUGCCUGCCAAUGUAGAUACUCUUAAAAUUAUGGGAUGCAAAGAACUUGUUUCACUUUCUGAGGAUGGAUGGCCUUCAAGGUUAAAAUCACUUGAAAUUUCCGACUGUGAAAAGCUAUUCGGAAAGAGUUUGUGGUGGAAUCUGCGGAGAGUCACCUCUCUUACAUCCUUACAAAUCAGCGACAUAGAUGAAGUGGUGGAUUCGUUUCCAGAGGAAUGGCAACUUCCAACCACUCUGCAGUCUCUUAUGCUAAGGCAUUUUCUAAACCUCAAAUCACUCAAUGGCAAGGCCUUUCAACACCAUACUUCUCUUCAAGAAUUGAAGAUUGAAUUAUGCCAUCAUCUCCAGAACUUGCUAGAAGAAGGGCUGCCGGAGUCACUCUCUCAGUUGGAAAUCUUUGGAUGUGGUUUUCUAAAAGAAGAUGCUAGAAAGAGACAGGGGAAGAUUGCAAAAACAUAUGAUGCACAUUGCAAGUACUUGCCCCUCUUCUUCAAUAUUUUUAGGGAGGUGGGUCGCAUUGUCACCACAAGAGAAAACUGGAGUUAUUUCCAUGACUGAAGAGUGCCUUCAAAUCUCACAUACUAUAUCUAGAUUCAGAAAGCUAGCUUUUUGCACAUUUGUGCUCACUUCUGCAUUCUCGUAUAAUGUAGUGCGAAAUUCAUUCCCAGAGGAUGGCCUACCUGCAGUGCUUUGUCAGAAGAUGAUGCAUCCCUGCUUGUCAUACAAUGUUUUCUUUGGUAAGAAACGUCCUCAAUUUACAUUUUUACAGUUUAAUGUAUUUUUCAGAUUCAUGUUAUUGUUAGACACGUCAUGUAUGGCUCACAUUUUGUGAUUAAAAAGGAGAGAGAUAAAAAAAAAAAGAAAAGAAGAAAAAAAGGAACCCACACCCUAGUAAGAUUCUCUUCUCUUUUCCUAGUUAAUAGUAGGUAUGCUAACUAGUUCUUUCAUUAGUAAAGCUUGUUAUGCAUUAUAAGAUUUCAUAUUCUUUUUUUUUUUUCUUUUUUUUUUUUUAAAUUUUGGGGGGUGAAUUAUAGGAUGUCAUAUUCUAUACCCAAAUAAUGCAGUCUAUUUCGCUUUCUUAUAUAUUUUCAAUCCUAAAUAAAGCAAACCAAAGGGGAGGGGAGCUUUUAAACAAAUUAAAAAAAAAAAAAAAAAAGAGAGAGAGAGAGAGAAGGGAACUCCAGUUAUUACUAUGUUAAUAAUCUUGUGAUAAGGUAUAUUUCAAAGUUUUCUCAGCUGCAGUUACAGUGUUGGAAGAAUAAGUUUUGUCUUUCUCAAUAGCUGAUUCAAUAAUGGAAAGCUUUUUGGUUUCGAAAUUCAGUUCUAGUUCUUCUUGGCCAUUUCAAUGUUUAGCAUCUCGUGCAUAACAUAUUCAAUUUCACACCUUCAAGUUUCCAUAGGUGGACUUUUUUAAUUCAUUCAGCAGGAAUUUAUAGGAUGUUUAAAGUUUUUUGCUGUAUGCUAUUUGUCCCCUUGCUCGUUGAUUUUGAUAAUGGCUCUCGAGAGGUUCAUCUUAUGUCUCAGAUUUCGCUGUAGGAGGAGCAUUAUCACUGCCCAAGUUGAGUAGCUUUUAGUUUGUGUUUCUAUUUUCAAAUAUUUAUGUGGAUUUAAGAACAAGAUUUUAGUGGAGGUGUAGUUCCGGUAUUCUUGAAUAUGGUUUUUUUUUUUUUUUUUUUUUUUUUUUUUUUUUUUUUUCCCUAGAUUUGGAUUUUUGUAAUUGUGCAUAUUGGUUAGGUUAAAUUCAUAUAUUUCAUUUUUUCUUGUUUAUUUAAUUGAAUGAGGUGUAAAUAAGCUCUCAGGUUGAUAUUUUGCCUCAAAAAAUUUGGCUGUGGUUGAAGCAUCUUGAUUUUGCUGCUGAGUCAGUUUUAAACUUGGCUUUUAGUUAUUUAAUGCAUUUGUGAUAUUGUUUGCUAUCUCAGUUGGAUUUUAUUCAUGCAUGCGACUUCUACGAAUAAUUUUAUUCCUGUAACAGUGCAGACUGGGGUUUCAUGGUGCUGGUGUAGAUUUUGGGAUGGAUGCAAAGGUAAUUUUCUGCUCUUUUAUAGGAAUUUUGGAUAUUUCCUUCGGAUUUUUUCUUUGUAAUUAUCAAGGUUGACUGGAAUGCAAAGGGAACCAUGUAUUUACGUGGUUUGACAUGUGGCCGUACUAAAUACAUAGUAGUUUUAAAGCAAGUGGAAUCCAAGGUGAUCAAUUCCAAAACAUUUUCGAAAAGUAUUUUGCAAGAAAUAGCUGCUAAUCCUCUGCUUCAUUCUGCUAAACAUUUAUGCUUACUUGUUUUUUUCUUUUGGGGUUAAGCUACUAUAGAAAAUUUUACAGUGCAGACGGUCAAAAAUCGUUGUCAAAACUGUUUCUGUAUAAGUUUUGACGAUGGUUUUUAAAAAAACUGUCAUCAAUACUGUAGAUCCACAUAUAGACGGUUCGCAUCAUAGAUGAACUUUUUAUACUAUACUACUGCAUAUACGAUUACACCUAGAUUCUAGGCAUCAAUACUAUAGAUCCACAUUGAGACGGUCCACAUCAUAGAUGAACUCUUUAUACUAUACCGCUGUACAUACAAUUACACCUAGAUUCCAAGCACUAAAGACAUAGUUAUAUGAACGAAUCAUGUCAAUACUUAAUUAGUGUCUUCAAUAAAACAUUAAGCAGUAACUACAAAUUCAGUGCUAUCAUAUUCUGUUAAUAUGUAUAAGUUAAUUGGAGCACUUUGACAAACAAAUGCUGAUAAAUAUACACAUGACAGUUUGUUUUCAUCGCUAUCCAUUUGUUUCCAAUCAUCCUGUUUUGUCUAUUUGUUUAUGCUUUUAGUUGAUAAUAGUUUUAAAUAGGAAAAUAACAAGUUUCAGAUUUGAAACCUAGCUAGUAAAAAUAAUUGACGUACAAUAUUCUUUUGUUUUGAGUAUUUAUUAACUAAUUUAAUAGUACAUGUUGGAAAAAUUGGUUUUAACAGUUUUGAGUUUAUUGAUUAUGUAACCUUUUUUUUAUGAAAAAAAAAUUGUCUAUAAUUAUUCAAACUAAAUUUGGUUUUUGUUGCUUUUAAAUUUAUAGAAGUAUUUGGUUCUGGUACUUUUAAAUGUCUUUUUAAAAAUUACUAUCGUACCAGAUCAUGUGAGAAUCGAGACCCUUUUGCAGGGCACUUCAAUUUAAUACAAUUUCACCUUCUCUUUUUAAUUAAAAAGUGAUUCCAAAAUAGUUUCUAAUCAUUUUUUUUUUUUGAAGAAUAAUAAUAAGUAAAUUAAGGAUAAACCUUGAAGAUGAGUGAGUGGCACAAGCCCUUGAAAAAAAAGGUAAAAAAAUUGAAGCACUUAAAUAAUUGUCCCUCUAAAAGAAUGCAUAAAUUUAGAAGCACCUGAAUAAUGAAUAGUCCUAAAGAUGAGAAAAUAGUUUAUUAUUAUUUUUAUCAUUACGACGAUUAUUCUUAUUCUUAUUAUUAUUGAGCAAGAAGAGAAAAUAGUCGGUUCGGGAAAAAAAAAGGAGGUGACAUGUGAAUGGUAUACAGCUACUUGUCCACCCACCAGGCCGGCUUAAGCCAUAUGCCAGUAAGGUCUAUGGCUAGGGUCCCAUUUUAUUAGGGUUCCAAAAAAUAUUUUUUCUAUAUAUUAUAUAAUAUAUAUAGGAGGAUGUUAUUGUGUGGACGGUUCACAUGCGUAUCAGAAUCAAAAUCGAUACUUUUUAAAAAAGGCAUCUGCUUUAGUGUAUAGGCAGUGUACAUAUCAAAGUCGAUAUAUUUUUUAAAAAGUAUCUUUGAUACUGAUCUGUAUAUGGCCCAUUCGCAUUGUAAAUAUAAUUAUUAAUUUAUUUUGGAAACAUAAAAAAUUGAUUUUACUUAGAAUUUUAAAUUAUUUUUAAUUGAUCAUUUAUUACUAUAAUUAUUUUUGACUAUUGUUGUUUUUAAAAAAGAGUGCCAAUCGAGUCUAAUUGAGGAGAACCAGAUGUUAAAUACUCUUUUUGUUUAUGCUUCAGUUUAUGCAUUUUUUCUGUUGCUCACUUUCUUUCUUCUUUUCUCAUCCACUUAUCUUUUAUAUUUGUUUAAUCUUUGAUACUUAACUUAUAUAUUUUACAACUUUAACCUAGGGCGCUCCAAAAUAAAAGGUAAACUGGUUUUUAUUUGUUUCAAUAAAUUUACAUUCAUUCUCCUAAUAUGUAUAUAUUAUUUUAUAUAUAUUCAUGAUGUAGUUAUUUACUAAUUAUUCUUAUUAUUCAUAUAUAUAUAUAUACACCUCAUGUUUCUCUAGUUUGUGUUUUUAUUUUUCUUUAUAUCUUUUAUUCAACUAAAUUUAUUAGAUUUUAAUCCUUACAUGGUUUUUUUUUUUUUUUUUAAUUUGGACCAAUUAUUCAUCUAGACACUCAUUCUAAUUAAUCUAAAUAAAAGUUAAUAUUUGUUUAUUCUUUUAUCAUAUUUGUGCAUAUAAUAGUGUUAAACUUUAAAGUAUCAUCAAAUUGAAAAUACUAGAUAUAGACCAGGUUUUAUUAUUUUUUUAAUUUUAAGCACUUGUAUUUUGAUAAAAUAUUAGGAACCUAUAUUUUCUAUAAAGUAUUAGGGACCUAUAUUUUCUAUUAUUUGAGUAUAAAUAUUUGCUAGAAAAUAUGAUUUUGGAUAUGCAAAACUAAUGCCAAAAAAAAAAAAAAAGAAAAAAAGAAAAAUAGAAGAAUUUAUUCAAUCCUAUAAAGGUGUACUUGAUAGAUUUGUUACUAAUACAAAAAAUCAAAACUUAGAAAAACCAAUUGAAAAUUUAAAUGAAAAAGCAAUUGAAUUUCGCUAGAAGAUGAUACUUUAUUAGGACAAAAAGAAAUCUGUCAAGAACUUUCUGGUGAUCACAAAUUCAAUUCACCAAAUAUUAAUAUUAUUGGAGAAGAUAAUAGUAAUUUAGAAGAAGAUGAAUUAAUUGAUUAGGAAGAUAAAAAUUUAAAUGAUAUUGAUGAAACUAUUGUUAAAAAUAUAUAUGAUCCAACACAAGGGAAGAACAUAAAUACAAAUUUAAUAGAUUUAUUAGUUGAAAAAUGUCCAAUUAGCAAUAGAGAAAAACAUGAUAGGAGAUGGCUAGCAUAUUCAAAAGAAUUAGAUAAAAUAUUUUGCUUUUGUUGUAAAGUAUUUAGUCAAAAAUCAAUUAUAAUUCAAUUAGCAAAUGAAGGAUGUGGAGAUUGGAAAAAUUUUAUGCUAAGCAUAAAAGUCAUGAAACAAGCAGUAAACAUAUUAUAAUAUGAAUAUUUGGUUUGAUGUUGAAAUGAGAUUACUUAAAAAAUAAAACCCUUGAUCAAAAUUUACAAGAUCAUGAAACAAGAAGUAAGCAUAUUAUAAUAUGAAUAUUUGGUUUGAUGUUGAAAUGAGAUUACUUAAAAAUAAAACCCUUGAUCAAAAUUUACAAGAAAAGAUAACAACAAGGAAAAAGGGCAUUGGAGGAAUGGAUUAAUAAGAUUUAUUGUGGUAGUAAAAAAUCUUGCAAAAAAUAAUAUGGCAUUUUGUGGUAUAAAUGAGAAGAUAUAUCAACACAACAAUGGAAAUUUUUUUAGAUUUCAUUUAAAUGAUUGUAGAAUUUGAUCCUCUAAUACAAGAAUAUCUUAAACAUAUUCAAAAUGGUGAAAUUCAUAAUCAUUAUCUUGGUCAAAAUAUACAAAAUGAGUUAAUAAAUAUAUUAGGAUUAGAAAUAAAAAGUAUUAUAAUUAAAAAAAUAAAUGAAGUUAAAUACUUUUGCAGUUAUAUUUGAUUGUACCCCACAUAAAAAUCAUCAGAAACAAAUGUCUCUUAUAUUAAAAUGUGUAGAUAUUUUAACAAGUCCAAUCAAAAUAAGAAAAGUGUUUUAUAGAAUUUUUAAAAGUAGAUGAUACAUCAAGGGAAAAAUCUUUUUGGUAUGCUUACUAGUACAAUUAAAAAAUUUGAACUUGGUAUAAAUGAUAUAAGAUGACAAGGAUAUGAUAAUGGAUCUAGUAUGAAAGGUAAAUAAUGUAGCUUUUUAUAUACCAUGUAGUUGUCAUAGUCUUAAUUUAGUACUUUGUGAUAUGGCUAAUUCUUGUGCUGGUGUUAUUAACAUUUUCUGGUGUGACACAACACAUAUACUCAUUAUUUUCUUCUUCUACAAAAAGAUGAAAAUUUUGUAAGAUCAUGUUUCUAAUUUAAUUCUUAAGCCAAUAUUACAAACACAUUGGGAAAGUUGUUUUGAAAGUGUUAAAGCAAUAAAAUAUCAAGUUCUACAAAUAAGAGAUGCUUUAUAUCAGCUUGCAGAAUCUAGUGAUGAUCCUAAAAUAAAAAGUGAAGUAAUUUCUUGAGCAAUAGAUGAUAUUGAAAAUUUUAAAUUUUUAUUAGAUAUGAUUAUUUAGUAUGAUAUAUUGUUUGCAGUUAGUAAAUUUUUACAACAUAAAAAUAGGGGCAUUGCUGUUGAUUUAUAAAAGUCUUGUUUCCAUUUUUAAUGAUUAUAGAGAAAAUGGAUUUACAUCAGCAAUGAUUUAUGGUAAAGAAAUUGCAAAUGAAAUGAAUGUAGAAUCAAAAUUUCAUAAAAGACAUGCAAUUAGAAGAAAUGAGAAUGAAACUAAUAGGGUGAGACUUGCAGCCGAUGAAUCUUUUAAAAUGAAUUAUUUCGAUUAUAUAGUUGAUAUGCCAUUUUUUCACUUCAAAAUAGUUUUGAACAGUUUAAAAUAUAUAAAGAUGAUUUCCGUUUUUUUAUAUUAUGUAGAAAAAUUAAAAUUGCUUGAUAAUGAUUUUCUAAAAGAAAAAUGUUUGAAUUAAAUUUUUUUUUUUAAACGUGACAUGUUAACUAUUAUUGGUGGUUUAUAUUUAUUUUUAGAAUUAAAAAUUUAAAAAGAAAUAGUAAAUUCGGAAUUAAAAACAGUAUUUGAGAUACUAAAUUUUAUAAUUGAUUUUUUUUUUCCAAUAUAUAGAUAGCUUAUAGAAUAAUUGAUAAUGCCUGUUAGUAUAGCUUCAGCACAAAAAAAAAAUUUCAAAACUAAAAUUAAUAAAAUCUUAUUUAUAUUCAAUAAUAUCUCAAAAAAUAUUAAAUAAUUCAAUAAUUUUAGCAAUUGAAAAAAUAUAUUAUCAAAAUUUAAAUAUAAAAAUUUAAUUAAUAACCUUGCAACUCAGAAAGUCAAAAAGAUUUUUUUAAACUAAUAUUUAAUUUUUUUUAAAAAAAAAUUAAGGUCUUAAAUAUUUUUUUGGGUUAAGAUGGCUCUGCUGAAGCAAGUUUGAGGCUCAACCAUGUUUUUAGGCACUAGACCCAAAAAAAUAUUUAAGGCCUUAAUAUAUUUUGUUCAAUCUCGAAAAUGUGUACUUGAUAUAUUUGUUACUAAUAUUAAAAAUCAAAACUUAAAAAAACCAAUUGAAAAGUUAAAUUAAAAAGUAAUUGAAUUUUUGCUAGAAGAUGAUACUUUAUUAGGACAAAAAGAAAUCUGUCAAGAAUUUUCUGAUCACAAAUUUAAUUCACCAAAUAUUAAUAUUAUUGAAAAGAUAAUAGUAAUUUAGAAGAAGAUGAAUUAAUUGAUUAGGAAGAUAAAAAUUUCAUGAUAUUGAUGAAACUAUUGUUAAAAAUAUAUAUGAUCCAACACAAGGGAAAAACAUAAAUAUAAAUUUAAUAGAUUUAUUAGUUAAAAAAGGUCCAAUUUGAGAAACCACCUGAUGUUUUCCAAAUGACAAAAAUUCUAAAAUUUUUUCUACAGUUUAUUAAUUUGAAAAUUAACACUAGAGAAAAACAUGAUAGGAGAUGGCUAGCAUAUUCAAAAGAAUUAGAUAAAGUAUUUUGCUUUUAUUGUAAAGUAUUUAGUCAAAAAUCAAUUACAAUUCAAUUAGCAAAUGAAGGAUGUAGAGAUUGGAAAACCCUUAGUGCCAAGCUUAAAAGUCAUGAAACAAGCAGUAAACAUAUUAUAAUAUGAAUAUUUGGUUUGAUGUUGAAAUGAGAUUACUUAAAAAUAAAACCAUUGAUAAAAAUUUACAAGAAAAGAUAAACAAGGAAAAAGGGCAUUGGAGGAACGGAUUAAUAAGAUUUAUUGUGGUAGUAAAAAAUCUUGCAAAAAAUAAUUUGGCAUUUUGUGGUAUAAAUGAGAAGAUAUAUCAAGACAACAAUGGAAAUUUUUUAGAUUUAAUUUAAAUGACUCUAGAAUUUGAUCCUAUAAUACAAGAACACCUUAAACAUAUUCAAAAUGGUGAAAUUCAUAAUCAUUCUCUUAGCCAUAAUAUACAAAAUGAGUUAAUAAAUAUAUUAGUAUUAGAAAUAAAAUGUAUUAUAAUUAAAAAAAUAAAUGAAGUAAAAUACUUUUGCAAUUAUAUUUGAUUGUACCCCAGAUAUAAGUCAUCAAAAACAAAUGUCUCUUAUAUUAAAAUGUGUAGAUAUUUCAACAAGUCUAGUCAAAAUAGAAAAGUAUUUUAUAGAAUUUUUAAAAGUAGAUGAUACAUCAAGGGAAAGAUCUUUUUGGUAUGCUUACUAGUACAAUAAAAAAUUUUGAACUUGAUAUAAAUGAUAUAAAAGGACAAGGAUAUGAUAAUGGAUCUAAUAUGAAAGGUAAAUAAUAUAGCAUACAGAAGAGAUUGUUAGAUAUAAAUUUUAGAGCUUUUUAUAUAUCAUGUAGUUGUCAUAGUCUUAAUUUAGUAUUUUGUGAUAUGGCUAAUUCUUGUGCUGGUGCUAUUAACAUUUUCUGGUGUGACACAACACAUAUUCUCAUUAUUUUCUUCUUUUACAAAAAGAUGAAAAUUUAAGAUCAUGAUUCUAAUUUAACUCUUAAGCCAAUGUUACACACACAUUAGGAAAGUUGUUUUGAAAGUGUUAAAACAAUAAAAUAUCAAGUUCUACAAAUAAAAGAUGCUUUAUAUCAACUUGCAAAAUCUAGUUAUGAUCCUAAAAUAAAAAGUGAAGUAAUUUCUUUAGCAAUAUAUGAUAUUGAAAAUUUUAAAUUUUUAUUAGAUAUGAUUAAUUAGUAUGAUAUAUUGUUUGUAGUUAGUUAAUUUUUUACAACAUAAAGAUAUGGGCAUUGCUAUUGAUUUAUGAAGGUCUUGUUUCUAUAUUUAAUGACUAUAGAGAAAACGGAUUUACAUGUGAAAUAAUUUCUGCUAAAGAGAUUGCAAAUGAAAUGAAUGUAGAAUCAAAAUUUCAUAAAAGACAUGCAAUUAGACGAAACAAACAAUUUGAUGAGAAUGAAACUAAUAAGGUGAGACUUGCAGCUGAUGAAUUUUUUAAAAUUAAUUAUUUCAAUUAUAGAGUUGAUAUGUCAUUUUUUCAUUUCAAAAUAGUUUUGAACAGUUUAAGAUAUAUAAAGAUGAUUUUGGAUUUUUUUAUAUGAUAUAGAAAAAUUAAAAUUGCUUGAUGAUGAUUUUCUAAAAGAAAAAUGUUUGAAUUUUAAAAAAAUUUUAAAAUAUGACAUGUUAUCUGAUAAUGGUGGUUUAGAUUUAUUUUCAGAAUAAAAAAUUUUUAAAAAAAUAAUAAAUUUGGAAUGAAAAACAGUAUUUGAGAUAUUAAAUUUUGUAAUUAAUUUUUUUUCAAUAUAUAGGUAGCUUAUAGAAUACUUGCUUGUUAGUAUAGCUUCAGUAGAAAAAAAAAUCCAAAACUAAAAUGAACAAAAUCUUAUUUAUACUCAAUAAUAUCUUACAAAACAUUAAAUAAUUCAAUAAUUUUAGCAAUUUAAAAAAUAUAUUAUCAAAAUUUAAAUAUAAAACUUUAAUUAACAACUUGCAACACAAAAAGUCGUAAAGAUUUUUUAAAACUAAUAUUUAAUUUUUUUAAAAAAAAUUAAGGUCUUAAAUAGUUUUUUGGGUUAAGUCGGCUCUGCUGAAGCAGAUUUGAGGCUCAACCAUUUUUUUAGACUAGCCCAAAAAAGUAUUUAGGACCUUAAUAUAGCUUUUAAAAGAGUUAAAUAGUAAAAAAAAGGGGCCUAGGCCAUACGCCAUAGUGGCCUAUGGCUUAAGCCGGCCCUGAGUGGCGGGGGAAGAGGAGGGGCCCAUAGCUGUAGGAGUGGUAGUGCCAUUGUUGUUGUCAUUGGAGAGCUGAGGGAGUACUUCGACCUGCAGUUUCAGGCCCCUUCUACAAUGAUAUUGCUUGCCGCAUAUGAAGAACCUGGGUCCUGGUUGAGUCAGUUUGAUCACCGUCAAUCCGUUGUCGUGUGUACUGAUAGGGUGAGCGGCGUUACAGUUACGGUAAUCCAAGAGGUGCACUUCCAAUACAUUGUGGACCGGCUUGUACUGGAACUCUGCCAAAAUUGUACAACAGACAAUCUUGUAUAUUAUUAUUAUUAUUAUUGGUAUAUUGUAAAUUUCAAUGAACCGAUUCGAGCAAUUAAUAGCCAAUUUAAUUCUUUCUUUCCAAGUAAA